rnacentral:rRNA from 1 species
CCUACGGGAGACAGCAGUGAGGAAUAUUGGUCAAUGGGCGGAAGCCUGAACCAGCCAAGUCGCGUGAGGGAUUAAGGCCCUGCGGGUCGUAAACCUCUUUUGCCGGGGAGCAGUGGUCCGGACGCGUCCGGACCGGGAGAGUACCCGGAGAAAAAGCAUCGGCUAACUCCGUGCCAGCUGCCGCGGUAAUACGGAGGAUGCGAGCGUUAUCCGGAUGUAUUGGGUUUAAAGGGAGCGUAGAUGGGUUGUUAAGUCAGUUGUGAAAGUUUGCGGCUCAACCGUAAAAUUGCAAUUGAUACUGGCAGCCUUGAGUACAGUUGAGGUAGGCGGAAUUCGUGGUGUAGCGGUGAAAUGCUUAGAUAUCACGAAGAACUCCGAUUGCGAAGGCAGCUUACUAAACUGCCACUGACAUUGAUGCUCGAAAGUGUGGGUAUCAAACAGGAUUAGAUACCCCUGUAGUC